CGAAUCAGCAUGUCGCGGUGAAUACGUUCCCGGGUCUUGUACACACCGCCCGUCACACCAUGGGAGUCGGUAACGCCCGAAGUCAGUGACCCAACCGGAAGGAGGGAGCUGCCGAAGGCGGGACUGGUAACUGGGGUGAAGUCGUAACAAGGUACC
rnacentral:rRNA from 1 species